rnacentral:lncRNA from 1 species
UCAGCCAGCUUGUUAGUACACCCAUCACAAUGAAAUUCACUUGGAACUGGCUGGAUCUAGGCACAGUGAAUCACACACACCCGGAUGAAGAUGCUUACAAGAUUGACACUGAUGGUUUCCCGAUACCAUACAGUGACUUCCCAUUCCUUCUGGACAUCCUGUCCUCCAAAAAGUGCGAUAUUGCUGAGAGCUUCAGAUCUAG